CGGACGAUGCUUUAACAUGCAGUCGAACGGCAGCACGGGUGCUUGCACCUGGUGGCGAGUGGCGAACGGGUGAGUAAUGCGUCGGAACGUACCGAGUAAUGGGGGAUAACGCAGCGAAAGUUGUGCUAAUACCGCAUACGCCCUGAGGGGGAAAGUGGGGGACCGCAAGGCCUCACGUUAUUCGAGCGGCCGACGUCUGAUUAGCUAGUUGGUGGGGUAAAGGCCUACCAAGGCGACGAUCAGUAGCGGGUCUGAGAGGAUGAUCCGCCACACUGGGACUGAGACACGGCCCAGACUCCUACGGGAGGCAGCAGUGGGGAAUUUUGGACAAUGGGGGCAACCCUGAUCCAGCCAUUCCGCGUGAGUGAAGAAGGCCUUCGGGUUGUAAAGCUCUUUCAGCAGGAACGAAACGGUACGCUCUAACAUAGUGUGCUAAUGACGGUACCUGCAGAAGAAGCACCGGCUAACUACGUGCCAGCAGCCGCGGUAAUACGUAGGGUGCGAGCGUUAAUCGGAAUUACUGGGCGUAAAGCGUGCGCAGGCGGAUUGUUAAACAAGAUGUGAAAUCCCCGGGCUUAACCUGGGAAUGGCAUUUUGAACUGGCAGUCUAGAGUGUGUCAGCGGGGGGUGGAAUUCCACGUGCAGCAGUGAAAUGCUUAGAGAUGUGGAGGACACCAAUGCCAAACGCAGCCCCCCGCGAUGACACUGCACGCUCAUGUCUCACACCGUGCGUAGCAAACAAGAAUUAGAUUCCCUGGUACUCUCGGCCCCAUACCAUGUCCAUGUCGAUCGCGGUGUGGUGUGUACUCUCCUAGUUUCG
rnacentral:rRNA from 1 species